GACGAACGCUGGCGGCGUGCCUAAUACAUGCAAGUUGAGCGCUGAAGGUUGGUACUUGUACCAACUGGAUGAGCAGCGAACGGGUGAGUAACGCGUGGGGAAUCUGCCUUUGAGCGGGGGACAACAUUUGGAAACGAAUGCUAAUACCGCAUAAAAACUUUAAACACAAGUUUUAAGUUUGAAAGAUGCAAUUGCAUCACUCAAAGAUGAUCCCGCGUUGUAUUAGCUAGUUGGUGAGGUAAAGGCUCACCAAGGCGAUGAUACAUAGUCGACCUGAGAGGGUGAUCGGCCACAUUGGGACUGAGACACGGCCCAAACUCCUACGGGAGGCAGCAGUAGGGAAUCUUCGGCAAUGGACGAAAGUCUGACCGAGCAACGCCGCGUGAGUGAAGAAGGUUUUCGGAUCGUAAAACUCUGUUGGUAGAGAAGAACGUUGGUGAGAGUGGAAAGCUCAUCAAGUGACGGUAACUACCCAGAAAGGGACGGCUAACUACGUG
rnacentral:rRNA from 1 species